rnacentral:rRNA from 1 species
UACGUAGGUGACAAAUGUUAUCCGGAAUUACUGGGCGUAAAGGGUCUGUAGGCGGCUGUUUAGGUCUGACGUGACAUCUCGCGGCUCAACUGCGAGCGCGCGUUGGAAACCGGACAGCUAGAAUCCCGUCGAGGUCGGUGGAAUUCCCGGUGUAGUGGUGGAAUGCGUAGAGAUCGGGAGGAACCUCGAAAGCGAAGGCAGCCGGCUAGACGAGGAUUGACGCUGAGGGACGAUAGCGUGGGGAGCAAACAGG